UAUUCUGCCCCAUGGGGAAGGAUGAGAAGCUUCGACUAAGGUUCGACUCGAGCGAAGCGAGAGAACGUUGCCGCAGGCAACGGCCCGAAGGGCGAGGCGCUUUAGCGCCGAGUAAUCCUUCCCCCAACACUG
rnacentral:sRNA from 1 species